UACGUAGGGUGCGAGCGUUAAUCGGAAUUACUGGGCGUAAAGCGAGUGUAGGCGGUGUGGUAAGUCGGAUGUGAAAGCCCCGGGCUCAACCCGGGAAGUGCACUCGAUACUGCCACGCUAGAGUAUCGGAGAGGUUGGUGGAAUUCUCGGUGUAGAGGUGAAAUUCGUAGAUAUCAUGAGGAAUACCAGAGGCGAAGGCGGCUACCUGGACAAUUGCUGACGCUCAGGCACGAAAGCGUGGGGAGCAAAAGGG
rnacentral:rRNA from 1 species